GAAGUUUUGAUGGGUGUUCUGUAUGGAAUUGGAGCGUUGGUUUAUGCUACAAGGAUUCCAGAACGAUGGAUGCCUGGAAAAUUUGACAUUGCAGGGCACAGCCACCAACUUUUCCAUAUAUUUGUAGUGGCUGGGGCUUACACUCAUUAUCAUGCGGGGCUGGUUUACCUCAAGUGGAGAGACCUGGAAGGCUGCUAGAGAGAAUACACUCUGAAUCUUAAAAUAAUUUAGUGAAUGAAAUCCUAGGCAAUUGCACUGUAUAAAUAAAUAGGUCAAGCAAAUCUAGAAUCUAGAUGUAAGAACG
rnacentral:misc_RNA from 1 species